CAUAAACCCAACUAAACAGACAACUAUGUUUGCUUUGCUCAAGGCCUUCAGUUGAGACAAAUCGACAUGAUAGAAGAUGGCAUUGCUGGAAACUCAUUCACACUCAGCAGCAUGGCCAAAAAGGUUCGAGCUAUUUGUAAAGAUUCUAUAAAGCUGUAUACCAGAAGGAAGGGCCUAACAAUAGAACACCCCAGGGAGUUCAAUAUGAUUGAUGAAAGCAACUUUUGUCACAAGUGAAAGUAUGGACGUGGAAGUGUUCGCAAAGACUUGGCGUAGAAGAAAGUGGGUUUUGGGAUGCUGUGGGUUGCACCAGGAAAUAGCAAGCCCAUUCUAAAACUUGUUCAUCGAAGGUCCCGAAAUCACCGUAUCCCACUUAUUGUACAAUAUGUGCAUCCUGGAAGUUCCAUACUUAGUGAUGAAUGGCGUGCUUACAGAAGGGCAUUUACCAAUCGUGGCUAUAAUCACUUACCUGUGAAGCAUAAUAACUCUUUUGUAGAUCCAAGAACAGGCAGCCAUACAAAGAAACUGGAAAGAGCAUGGUUAAUUUCAAAGGGAACAUAUGGGGUCUUAGAGGACACAGAACAGAGGACCUACUAAAACAACAUCUAAAGCUGAUAGAGUAGACUUACUGGCUUGGAAACCGGCACAGAAAUGGUCCUCUUGGAAGACUGUUGACGGACAUUCAUUGAAAAUAUCACCUUUAAAACACGAAGCUGAUAACUUCCAAAGGUUAUCACUCACUAUUUG
ensembl:lncRNA